rnacentral:rRNA from 1 species
UACGUAGGAGGCAAGCGUUGUCCGGAAUUAUUGGGCGUAAAGAGCUCGUAGGCGGUCUGUCGCGUCGAUCGUGAAAACUUGGGGCUUAACCCUGAGCUUGCGGUCGAUACGGGCAUGACUGGAGUUCGGCAGGGGAGACUGGAAUUCCUGGUGUAGCGGUGAAAUGCGCAGAUAUCAGGAGGGACACCGGUGGCGAAGGCGGGUCUCUGGGCCGAUACUGACGCUGAGGAGCGAAAGCGUGGGGAGCGAACAGG